UAGCAAAACACCCUUUCACCUGUGUCUGCU
rnacentral:piRNA from 1 species